rnacentral:sRNA from 1 species
GCCGGGCACGAUGGCUCAUGCCUGUAAUCCCAGCACUUUGGGAGGCUGAGGUGGGUGGAUCACCUGAGGUCAGGAGUUCGAGACCAGCCUGGCCAACAUGGCGAAACCCCAUCUCUA